AGAGUUUGAUCCUGGCUCAGAACGAACGCUGGCGGCAGGCUUAACACAUGCAAGUUGAACGGGAUUUGUAUGGUGCUUGCACCAUGUAAUGAGAGUAGCGCACUGGUGAGUAACACGUGGGAACAUACCUUGAAGUGGGGGACAACAGUUGGAAACGACUGCUAAUACCGCAUAAUCCCUGAGGGGGAAAGAUUUAUCGCUUUAAGAUUGGCCCGCGGAAGAUUAGGUAGUUGGUGGGGUAAAGGCCUACCAAGCCGACGAUCUAUAGCUGGUCUGAGAGGACGAACAGCCACAUUGGAACUGAGACACGGUCCAGACUCCUACGGGAGGCAGCAGUGAGGAAUAUUGGGCAAUGGAGGAAACUCUGACCCAGCCAUGCCGCGUGAGUGAAGAAGGUUUUCGAAUUGUAAAGCUCUUUCGGAUGGGACGAUGAUGACGGUACCAUCUAAAGAAGCCCCGGCAAACUUCGUGCCAGCAGCCGCGGUAAUACGAAGGGGGCAAGCGUUGUUCGGAAUUACUGGGCGUAAAGGGUGUGUAGGCGGUUAUGUAAGAUAGCGGUGAAAUCCCGGGGCUUAACCUCGGAAUAGCCGUUAUAACUAUGUAGCUAGAGUUAUGGAGAGGAUAGCGGAAUACCCAGUGUAGAGGUGAAAUUCGUAGAUAUUGGGUAGAACACCAGUGGCGAAGGCGAGUAUCUGGCUGUCAACUGACGCUGAGGCACGAAAGCAUGGGGAUCAAACAGGAUUAGAUACCCUGGUAGUCCAUGCCGUAAACGAUGAAUGCUAGUUGUCGGCAAAAGCCGGUGACGCAGUUAACGCGAUAAGCAUUCCGCCUGGGGAGUACGGUCGCAAGAUUAAAACUCAAAGGAAUUGACGGGGACCCG
rnacentral:rRNA from 1 species